UUCCCAAGAUCAAAUUGUAGACAUAUUCACUAUGCUGUUACCAUUGCCAAACUUUCAGUCAUGUAAACGCUAUCUUAUAAUGUGCUAAAUGAAGUUGAGACUGAGGGAGGGUGAUAAACUAGCAGAUAAGAUAUGGUUCAAACCAUAUAGGCUAGUUGGUGUGAUUACAACCAAACUUGUAAGGUACGCAUCUUUUACUCGUAUGUAUCUCGUACUCUUGAAAUAUAAAUAUGGGAAAAGAUUCUGACCAUUUGACGGAUCAAGAUUCUGACCAUUUGACGGAUCGAUCCAACACCAAACGUCCACCGUUUUCCCUUUGUAUCACGUCACCCGAUGGAUACCGCACUAAACGUUCCGUCAAGCGCAUUUUGUUCUUAUCUCCAACGAACAUUUGCAACUGAGAUCUUGUUACAGGAAUUUGUUUGCAACAAGAGUCGUUGCAGAAACAGAAUAACAAGGUCUGUAACUGGAAUCUUGUUGUGGAAAAAGAAUAACAAGGUCUGCAAUAGAUAUCUUCUUCCAGGAAUGAUUUUUGCAACAAGGCGCUUGUGGAAGAAAAAUAGAAAAGAGGAAUGGACGAGAUCUUGUUACGGGAAUUAUGUUUGCAACAAGAGUUUUGUUACAAAAAAACAAGUUUUAUAACUGGGAUCUUGUUACGAGAAUGACCUUUGCAACCAGGCGUUUGUGGCAGGAAAAUAGAAAAGAGAAACAAAUGACUGACGUCAUACAAUCAAAUGGCGUGCGAGGCGAAGGAUCUUUUAGAAAGAUCCGCCGGCGAACGCAUAGCAGCCCCUAUAAAUAUGCAGAUGACUUGUCACUUGCGAGCUGUUAGUGCUGAGCGAUCUCUCCCAAACAAUCUCCUGUCUCACGUUUUACACAAAUCACCUUGCUUGAUUCUGGAACUAACCUAGUGGCUGAUGCUCUUCCAAGUUCCAUUCUAUGCACUCCCACAACUACUGCUGCAAGGGCCAGCUUCCAGUUUUUGUUAGGAGAUUUGCUUCAAGAUGCCUCACAGUCCUAAUGAACUACACACGCACUUCCAGUAACUUCUUCUAGUUGCCAUUCCUGUCACCCUUUUCUCAAGGCUCUCAACUCAAUUCUUGUUAAUCUAGGAGCUACUAACUUGAUAAGAAGAGCUAAUGAAUGAGGUGGCAAGAAAACUACAGUAAAAUAUUGUAUAUAUAUGCAUGUAUUGAGUAGGAGAAGGCAUUGCAUCUAUCUUUAUAUAAAGGCAAGUACAAACAUACGUGUCCUUUAACUCAAUUGUGGCUGUUGUGACACACCCGACAAAAGCAGGUGAGAGAUAUUUCUUGGAUGAUACGAAUGAGGUGGAAGCGAAAGAAAUGAGUACAUUUUUUGAUAGUUGAUUGUCUACAUGUACCCUUCAAGUACAGUGCCAUGAUAACAUGUACUGUUAACAUACUGUCGUAUUGUAUGAGUUGUAUACGUGGAUGUAACCGACUCCUACUCGUGUGGAUCGCCCCCACUUCUCCUCGCACGGCCUGCGUGCCUUUCCUUAAGGGAGAACGUUGGCCCCAGGCUAUAUUUUUUUUAGAAAAGAAGGAUUUCCUUCAAUCCCUGCAUUAAUACGAUGCAUGCAUCCACUUAAUUAACGAAAAGUAACAAACAUCCAGCGGUUUCGAACAAGCUCAAAACGAGCAACACAAUGUUGAAAAGUCUAUAAAAUGAUGCCACAACCAGCGAACAUAGUCCUAGAUACCUAACCAAAUAUCCUAUUACUGGACUGCCAUCCAAACCGGUUGUAGAUAUCUCGAGCUACCAUCUCUUACCGUGUAGACCCAGUAACCAUAGGCUCCCUGGUUUCCGCAGGAGUGAUGAACGACCAUGUACGGAUCAACGACGAUGCCUAAUACGUCUCCGUCGUAUCUACUUUUCCGAACUCUUUUGCCCUUGUUUUUGUCUCUAAUUUGCAUGAUUUGAAUGGAACUAAUCCGGACUAACGCUGUUUUUAGCAGAAUUGCCAUGGUGUUGUUUUUGUGCAGAAGUAAAAGUUCUCGGAAUGACCUGAAAAUUUACGGAGAAUUUUUCUGGAAUUAAUGAAAAAUACAUGCGCAAAGAUCCACGGGAGGAGGUGAGCCAGUGGGCCACAAGCCCAGGAGGCGCGGC
rnacentral:lncRNA from 1 species